rnacentral:snRNA from 1 species
CUCGCAAAGGACUGGAUAGUC